GGUAAUAGCUUGGUGGCAUAGUAUCUGUUUUGAAUGCAGAAGGUCCAAGGUUCAAACUCUAGCAUCUCCA